GAUGAACGCUGGCGGCGUGCCUAAUACAUGCAAGUCGAGCGAACAGACGAGGAGCUUGCUCCUCUGACGUUAGCGGCGGACGGGUGAGUAACACGUGGAUAACCUACCUAUAAGACUGGGAUAACUUCGGGAAACCGGAGCUAAUACCGGAUAACAUGUUGAACCGCAUGGUUCAACAGUGAAAGACGGUUUUGCUGUCACUUAUAGAUGGAUCCGCGCCGCAUUAGCUAGUUGGUAAGGUAACGGCUUACCAAGGCAACGAUGCGUAGCCGACCUGAGAGGGUGAUCGGCCACACUGGAACUGAGACACGGUCCAGACUCCUACGGGAGGCAGCAGUAGGGAAUCUUCCGCAAUGGGCGAAAGCCUGACGGAGCAACGCCGCGUGAGUGAAGAAGGUCUUCGGAUCGUAAAACUCUGUUAUUAGGGAAGAACAAAUGUGUAAGAAACUAUGCACGUCUUGACGGUACCUAAUCAGAAAGCCACGGCUAACUACGUG
rnacentral:rRNA from 1 species